AGAGUUUGAUCAUGGCUCAGAGCGAACGUUAGCGGCGGGCCUAACACAUGCAAGUCGCACGAGAAAGGGGCUUCGGCCCUGAGUAAAGUGGCGGACGGGUGAGUAACACGUGGGUAAUCUGCCCUUCAGCGGGGGACAACAGUCCGAAAGGAUUGCUAAUACCGCAUACGUCGUCGGGGUGUACGCACUCUGACGGGAAAGCCGGCCUCUCCAUGGAAGCUGGCACUGAAGGAGGAGCCCGCGGCCCAUCAGCUAGUUGGUAGGGUAAUGGCCUACCAAGGCUUAGACGGGUAGCUGGUCUGAGAGGAUGAUCAGCCACACUGGGACUGAGACACGGCCCAGACUCCUACGGGAGGCAGCAGUGGGGAAUAUUGGGCAAUGGGCGCAAGCCUGACCCAGCCACGCCGCGUGAGUGAUGAAGGCUUUCGGGUCGUAAAGCUCUGUGGGGAGGGACGAAAAAACGCUGGCUAACAUCCAGCGGACUGACGGUACCUCCUUAGCAAGCACCGGCUAACUCCGUGCCAGCAGCCGCGGUA
rnacentral:rRNA from 1 species